rnacentral:rRNA from 1 species
AUCUAUAGCCACAUCACCCUGAACAUGCCCAAUCUUGUCUGCUCUUGGAUACUAAGCAGGGUCAGGCCUGAUUAGUAUUUGGAUCUAAGAAAAAGGUUUUCAACCUCUGCUAUAGUCC